UCAAAGUGAUUGCAUGGAAAGUGAUGAAAAUUGAGUGAUGUGGAAAAUGUUAAAAUCGCCCUGUGACAGGAACAGCUCAACAGUCUACAUAUUCAGCACUCCUACAUUUUGUGUACCUAUAUACAAGCCUGCAGUCUGACAGAGAGGAGACUCUGGAAGGUAAUUUGUCUCAGCAGUGACAAAGGUGAUUGGCACAAGAAUGAUUUGGGUUGCUGUAGGAAUUCGAAGAAAAAAAUAAAACCUUACCCUUUCCGGCCUGAACCUGGCUACUGAGGACUUCUCAGAAAAAGUGACUCCUACAGGAAUGAGCAUGGAGGAGAUGGAAUGAGUCAAGAGGAGACAGCUCUUCAAGGAAAGAGGAAGGUUUGGAGCCAAGUUAACUAUUCUACUUGACUGAAGAUGGUGUGUGUGUGCAGUUAGUGGGGUACCAGGAGGGGUGCCAGGACACUGGAAGGCCCUCUUCAACAGCCUACUGGAACAUGAUGGGUUUUAGGCAGGUACAACCUUUUCAGAUUUGUUGUUCAAUGAAGCCAUCUGGUUGGUGUGCAGGAAUGCAAGGGAGUCAGCCUGAUGUGGAAGAAGAAUGGUGAUGAGGAGGUGUUUUUUUUUUGUUGUUGUUGUUGUUGUUGUUUAACACUUACACAGAGCGAAAAUAGGAGCUAUAGAGAACCAGGACAGUGAAUUAAGUUUAAGAACAAGUAUUUUAGGCACAAGGAGAAAGGAAAUGGUGAUUGUUGGCAUGGAUUGGGAUUCUAAAUAAAGGAAGAAAGCUAGGGGUGAUGGGGUUUCAUGAAACCCAGGAAAAGGGUAGUGUUUAGAUGGCAUUGAAAGCUUAGAGACACAAUUCACAGGACAAGGAAGUACUUGGGGCAAAGUAGAAGACUUUAUGGGCAAAGACAAGGAUGUGAUUGGUGUUGUUGAGGAUGGGAGGGAAGUUCACAGUUUACAAAUCAGCAAGUAAGGAGGAAAUUAUACACUAUUUGAGUUACUGGGACACCCAGGUUUUAGGUUACAUGUGGGCAUAAAACUCCAAUAAAGAACAUUUUCAAGAAAUCCUAUGAGAAGCAAAGACACACACAUAAAGACAGCAUCCCUGUGAUUCGUCCGUGUGGCAAUAGGCCUGUGUAAAGCCCAGGAGAGUGUCACUCAGUGAGGUAAAUCCUGGGGUUCAUCUGCCCUGUGCCAUGAUAGUGCUAGGUAUUCUGAUUGUGGCAGUGAGUAUGUCUAAAAAGAGCCUUUCCUGAAAAAAAAAAAAAAGGAUGCUAUUUUAUUGUGGAAAUUUAUCAAGUAGAUAAAAAUGGGAAAAUUAUAUAAAUACUGUGAUGUUAGUUGGGUUCUGUAGAGGGUAGAGUAGGACAGUCCAUUGAGGGAGCGUGAGGAGAGAGUUGCAGGGGAUUGGGUUAGCCAUCAAAUGUCAAUACUGGCCCAACUCCACAGAGAAGAGAAGGGACAGAAGGCAGAAAAGUCUUUAACUGCUAUAAAUUGUUAGCAAGGUCCAUUGGGGUUCCCAAGCCAACAUGUCAGUCAAAGGAACCCUUAUUGUCCUGCCUCACCCAGUCAUUAGGCACAUGUAACCCUUGGGAUGUAUGGUUUCUAGAGCAUGUGUGUGGUUGAAUUACAGAGAACAACAACAGAGCAUAACACUUAUACUUCAGCAGUGGGAUGUCUGUAAGCCCAUUCUUACAGUCAGCUACAACUUCCAGUUGCUGGGAGAAAAUAACACAGGAGAAUGGACAUUUAGAUGAUAAGGAUAAAUGGUUUCCUGGGAAGGUGCCAUUAAACCUAAGAUCAGAGCAUAAGGAAAACCCAACUGUGUGAAAAGCAUGAAGGAGAACAAAGGGGUAGAUCCUAUGGUGAUAUCUGAGUGUCACUCAGAGGGUGAAGGCAGCUUGAAUAUAAUCAUGAAAGAAUGGCAGCAGCUGUGGACAGGAAGCUGUAGUUGGGUUUUGCAGGCAAUUUAAAGCAGUUCAGAACAUACCAUGUUUGCAAAGGGAAACUAGUCAAGAAGUAGAGGAGAGAGAAAUGAGGCCUGACCUGUCAUGAAUACUACUUCUGUUUGCUCUGUGGAACAGGCAUGUAGCAGACACGGGUAAGGUGACAACAAAUGAUAGUUUACAUUGUUAGAGCACACUGGUCCCUCUUGGAGGUCCCUGGGGGCGGGUAGAGGGGAUUGAUAUAGUGAGCAGAGGCUUCGUGGAAGAGAGGCCAUCAGAACUCAGCCUUAAAGGAGUGAGAUUUUAGGAAAGACUAAAGAAUGGAAAUGACCUUAGAGGUGAAUUUCCCUGGGUCUGUGAAGGGAGGAACAAUCUUGUAGCAUUUUCCAAAAUCACUUCUCCAAAAAACAUGGAGCCAAAGUGGCUUUUAAUUUAGAGCCUUGUAUGGGACAGAACAUGGUUCAGAAGACACCAAGGACAUUCACAGGUGAAAAUUGCUUAAAUCAGAAAGAUUUAACACAGUUAGGGAGAAGAGGUCUCCAUCUCCUGCUUUAUGGCAGGGGGCAUUAACUGAGUACUUCACAGACUGAAGCAGAGGGAUGAAGAGAACCCUAGACUUCCUUCUGAACUCAGCUUUGGAUUCAAACUGGAGCAACACAGUGCACUAUUUUGGACUUGGAGACUCAGGGGAAGGGGUGUUUGGAUGGCAUUAAAAGCUCAUUUUUCAGAACCCACUCUUUGAAACCUCUUUCUAUGCUAAAAAACAAAACAUCAAGCCCCCUGCCCCCACAGUCACAGCAGUGACACAGGACAGAUGUGGAACUAGGGGAACUCUCCUCCACUGCUGGUGGGAAUGCAAGCUUGUACAACCACUUUGGAAA